GACGAACGCUGGCGGCGUGCCUAAUACAUGCAAGUCGAGCGCAGGAAACUGACGGAACUCUUCGGAGGGAAGGCAGUGGAAUGAGCGGCGGACGGGUGAGUAACACGUAAGGAACCUGCCUCAAGGAUUGGGAUAACUCCGAGAAAUCGGAGCUAAUACCGGAUAGUUCAACGGACCGCAUGGUCCGCUGAUGAAAGGCGCUCCGGCGUCACCUUGAGAUGGCCUUGCGGUGCAUUAGCUAGUUGGUGGGGUAACGGCCCACCAAGGCGACGAAGCAUAGCCGACCUGAGAGGGUGAUCGGCCAAGCUGGGACUGAGACACGGCCCAGACUCCUACGGGAGGCAGCAGUAGGGAAUCUUCCACAAUGGACGAAAGUCUGAUGGAGCAACGCCGCGUGAGUGAUGAAGGUUUUCGGAUCGUAAAACUCUGUUGUAAGGGAAGAACACGUACGAGAGGGAUGCUCGUACCUUGACGGUACCCUACGAGAAAGCCACGGCUAACUACGUGCCAGCCGCCGCGGUAACAC
rnacentral:rRNA from 1 species